CUCAUUUGUGAAGGCAGCCUGUACAUAAUCAUCGGUGUAUGAACCACUGCCCGUGUUGUCUGACAGGCAGCCCUUCCCCAGAGCUGGAGGCACUGGAAAUUUGUGUGAUGUUUAUAGGAGCUCCAGGCAAGUUUCCUGCAGACAGAGAUGGGGAAAUGCAUGUCUUCAAAUUCAUGGAUUAUAGGGAACUUCCCUGCUCCUCGUGGAGAUAGUACCAUGACUGUGACGUCUUUACUGAUCACUGUGAGGAGCUGCUGUUUAAUUAAAGUUGCACAUGAAGGAUCUAAAUCAGUGAAUUUGUAUCUCUGAUUUAGAAUAAAUAGCUAUUAACUG